UACGAAGGAUCCAAGCGUUAUCCGGAUUUAUUGGGUUUAAAGGGUGCGUAGGUGGGUUGGUAAGUCAGUGGUGAAAUACUUUCGCUUAACGAAGGAACUGCCAUUGAUACUACCAGUCUUGAAUACAGUGGAGGUAGGCGGAAUGCGUCAUGUAGCGGUGAAAUGCUUAGAUAUGACGCAGAACACCAAUUGCGAAGGCAGCUUGCUACACUGUUAUUGACACUGAGGCACGAAAGCGUGGGGAUCAAACAGG
rnacentral:rRNA from 1 species